UCUCCGUAGGUGAACCUGCGGAGGGAUCAUUACGGGGUUUUUGCCCGCAAGGGUAGAUCUCCCACCCUAUGUUAUUCCUUCUCUGUUGCUUUGGCGGGCCGCCCGGCCUCGGUCAGGCCACCGGCUCCGGCUGGUGAGCGCCCGCCAGAGGACCCCAAACCCUAAAUGUCAGUGUCGUCUGAGUACUAUAUAAUAGUUAAAACUUUCAACAACGGAUCUCUUGGUUCUG
rnacentral:misc_RNA from 1 species